GACGAACGCUGGCGGCGUGCUUAACACAUGCAAGUCGAACGGAAAGGCCCUGCUUUUGUGGGGUGCUCGAGUGGCGAACGGGUGAGUAACACGUGAGUAACCUGCCCUUGACUUUGGGAUAACUUCAGGAAACUGGGGCUAAUACCGGAUAGGAGCUCCUGCUGCAUGGUGGGGGUUGGAAAGUUUCGGCGGUUGGGGAUGGACUCGCGGCUUAUCAGCUUGUUGGUGGGGUAGUGGCUUACCAAGGCUUUGACGGGUAGCCGGCCUGAGAGGGUGACCGGCCACAUUGGGGCUGAGAUACGGGCCAGACUCCUACGGGAGGCAGCAGUGGGGAAUAUUGCACAAUGGGCGGAAGGCUGAUGCAGCAACGCCGCGUGCGGGAUGACGGCCUUCGGGUUGUAAACCGCUUUCGCCUGUGACGAAGCGUGAGUGACGGUAAUGGGUAAAGAAGCACCGGCUAACUACG
rnacentral:rRNA from 1 species